rnacentral:rRNA from 1 species
GACGGAGGAUGCAAGCGUUAUCCGGAAUGAUUGGGCGUAAAGCGUCCGCAGGUGGCAGUUCAAGUCUGCUGUCAAAGACCGGGGCUUAACUUCGGAAAGGCAGUGGAAACUGAACAGCUAGAGUAUGGUAGGGGCAGAGGGAAUUCCUGGUGUAGCGGUGAAAUGCGUAGAGAUCAGGAAGAACAUCGGUGGCGAAGGCGCUCUGCUGGACCAUAACUGACACUCAGGGACGAAAGCUAGGGGAGCGAACGGGA